UAGGUACUGUAGCAGUAUCUCACCUUGACAUUAGGUACUGUAGCAGUAUCUCACCUUGACAUUAGGUACUGUAGCAGUAUCUCACCUUGACAUUAGGUACUGUAGCAGUAUCUCACCUUGACAUUAGGUACUGUGGCAGUAUCUCACCUUGACAUUAGGUACUGUGGCAGUAUCUCACCUUGACAUUAGGUACUGUAGCAGUAUCUCACCUUGACAUUAGGUACUGUAGCAGUAUCUCACCUUGACAUUAGGUACUGUAGCAGUAUCUCACCUUGACAUUAGGUACUGUAGCAGUAUCUCACCUUGACAUUAGGUACUGUAGCAGUAUCUCACCUUGACAUUAGGUACUGUAGCAGUAUCUCACCUUGACAUUAGGUAAUGUAGCAGUAUCUCACCUUGACAUUAGGUACUGUAGCAGUAUCUCACCUUGACAUUAGGUAAUGUAGCAGUAUCUCACCUUGACAUUAGGUACUGUAGCAGUAUCUCACCUUGACAUUAGGUACUGUAGCAGUAUCUCACCUUGACAUUAGGUACUGUAGCAGUAUCUCACCUUGACAUUAGGUAAUGUAGUAGUAUCUCACCUUGACAUUGACGAUAGACAGAGAGUCUGGCUGGUCGAGGAAGAUGCGUAAAAGCUCCACAUUGGCCUCCUGAGAAGCCAUGUGCAGGGAGGUGCGGCCACUUUUAUGAUCCU